CCUACGGGUGGCAGCAGUGGGGGAUAUUGCACAAUGGGGGAAACCCUGAUGCAGCGACACCGCGUGGGCGAAGCAGCGCCUCGGCGCGUAAAGCCCUGUCAGCAGGGAAGAAAAUGACGGUACCUGAAGAAGAAGCCCCGGCUAACUACGUGCCAGCAGCCGCGGUAAUACGUAGGGGGCAAGCGUUAUCCGGAUUUACUGGGCGUAAAGGGGGCGCAGACGGCGAUGCAAGCCAGGAGUGAAAGCCCGGGGCCCAACCCCGGGACUGCUCUUGGAACUGGGUGGCUAGAGUGCAGGAGGGGCAAGCGGAAUUCCUGGUGUAGCGGUGAAAUGCGUAGAUAUCAGGAGGAACACCGGUGGCGAAGGCGGCCUGCUGGACUGCAACUGACGUUGAGGCCCGAAAGCGUGGGGAGCAAACAGGAUUAGAUACCCUAGUAGUC
rnacentral:rRNA from 1 species